rnacentral:rRNA from 1 species
UUGGAGGGCAAGUCUGGUGCCAGCAGCCGCGGUAAUUCCAGCUCCAAUAGCGUAUAUUAAAGUUGUUGCAGUUAAAAAGCUCGUAGUUGAAUUUCGGGAUCGACGGGUCGGUCGCGCCUCUGGUGUGUACUGGCCCUGUCGGUUUCUCCCUUCUGACGAACCACGAUGUCAUUAAUUUGGUGUCGUGGGAAAUCAGGACUGUUACUUUGAAAAAAUUAGAGUGUUUAAAGCAGGCAUUCGCUUGAAUACAUUAGCACGGAAUAAUGAAAUAGGACGUUUGAUCUUAUUUUGUUGGUUUCUAAGAUCGACGUAAUGAUUAAUAGGGAUAGUUGGGGGCAUUAGUAUUCAAUUGUCAGAGGUGAAAUUCUUGGAUUUAUUGAAGACUAACUACUGCGAAAGCAUUUGCCAAGGAUGUUUUCAUUAAUCAAGAACGAAAGUUAGGGGAUCGAAGACGAUCAGAUACCGUCGUAGUCUUAACCAUAAACUAUGCCGACUAGGGAUCGGAUGAUGUUAAUUUUUUAAUGACUCAUUCGGCGCCUUACGGGAAAC